UACGAGGGGGGCGAGCGUUGUUCGGAAUUAUUGGGCGUAAAGGGUGCGUAGGCGGGUCUUUAAGUCAGGGGUGAAAUCCUGGAGCUCAACUCCAGAACUGCCUUUGAUACUGAGGAUCUUGAGUUCGGGAGAGGUGAGUGGAACUGCGAGUGUAGAGGUGAAAUUCGUAGAUAUUCGCAAGAACACCAGUGGCGAAGGCGGCUCACUGGCCCGAUACUGACGCUGAGGCACGAAAGCGUGGGGAGCAAACAGG
rnacentral:rRNA from 1 species